rnacentral:lncRNA from 1 species
ACACUCUGUUUAACAAGCUGUUAAUUUCUUUGAUUUGGAGGAGGCCAAGGUAGCAAUUACUCAGGCACCAAAAUCUGGAAAUCCCCACACCAGCAGGUUCCUUGCACUCCGCUUCCUCGUUGGCUGGAGAGAAUUUGUUUCCAAGGAUUGUAGACCACAGCAAGGCUUCCUCAGGCUUGCAUACCAGGGUAUGCAGUGUCUACGGCCACUAUUUCAAAGAUUAGAGUUGACGCAGCAAGGUGGUAAGAGAGGCAAGAGGGAGGCACCUGCAAGCUUCAAGAGCAGCUGGAGGAAGAGUAAAUUAGAGUCCCAGCCACCCCCACAUCUAUCUUCUACACCUGCUCCUUCAUUUUCCUUUCUCUGGAGGGCUGAGAGAGAUUUACUGGUCAAAAGGAAGAGCUCCUCACUUCGGGUUCAGGAAUCUUACUGAAGGAAAUGAAAUGGUCACAGAAAGAAGAGUCACUCGGGUAAUUUGGGAUGUUAUGAAGGAGGCUCUGCGUCUCUGAACUGUUGUCAGGCCCCACCAGGCUCUUCACUGUUUGGAGCCAGAUCUACGGAGCCAAACUGCCUUGACCUGCUUUCUGAGGAGGGGACAGGCAGCAAGUGCCGGACCUAGCCAGAUUCAGCCCGCAGAAGGUGUUCCAGACUCCAAGCAGCCUGCUGGCCUAGCUCCAGGCCCAGGUGGCUGCAGACUCCACAAUGGGUGACUCAGAUGAGAUCAUCUAGUUGCAGGAAAACAAGCUGCAGGUUCCCACUGACUCUAUAUUAUGUUCGGUGAUCAAGUUCAUCUUCAAGCAAGUGUAGGAGAAGACUGAUCUUGUCUUCUGUCAAG